rnacentral:rRNA from 1 species
GACGAACCGAGCGAACGUUAUUCGGAAUCACUGGGCUUAAAGGGUGCGUAGGCGGCCGUGCAAGUCUGACGUGAAAGCCCCGGGCUCAGCCCGGGAAGUGCGCUCGAAACUGCGCGGCUCGAGUGCCGGAGGGGAGAGUGGAAUUCCUGGUGUAGCGGUGAAAUGCGUAGAUAUCAGGAGGAAUACCGGUGGCGAAAGCGACUCUCUGGACGGCAACUGACGCUGAGGCACGAAAGCGUGGGGAGCAAACAGG